GUGGGCAGUGGGUGAGUAAAGCUUUUAAAUUUUGAUUUUUUUUAUCAUCAGUGCUGGUGUAUCAUGCACACGCCCUCCAGACCUACCCCCACAUUGCUGAGCUCAGGAAAUUGAAACUACCCCUGUUCCCCAGCCCAGAAGCAGCCAUGGCUGCAGAGUCCCCCGUGAAAAGUGUCUAGGAGGAAGCGCUGUGUCCCAUCUGUCUGGAGGAUUUCACAGCCCCUGUCACUCUGGAGUGUGGGAACAAUUUCUGCCAGGCAACCCUAAGACGUCAGUGCAGAGACACUGGGCAUCAGAGUCCCCUCCAGCCCAUCCGGCAGCUGACAACGAUGGUGGAACUAGCCAAGCCGCUAAGUUUCCAGGCAGCAUAGAGAGCAAGAUGGGACAGUGUAUGUGGAGAGCACCAGGAGGCUCUGAAGCUGUUCUGUGAAGAGGAUCAAACUCCCAUCUGUGUGGGGUGUGACAGAUCCUGGGAUCAAACGGUGGUGCCUAUACAGGAAGCUGCCCAGGAGUACAAGGAAAAACGUGAGGCGCAUUUGAAGUUUCUGAGGGAAGAGAGAGAGAAGCUGCUGGGAUGGAAAAUGUCAGCUGAAGGAAAAAGCCAGGAGUGUCUGAAAUAGACACAAGCCGGGAGGCAGAUGAUUGUCGCUGAGUUUCAGCAGCUGCAUCAGUUCCUGGUGGAACAAGAGCGACUCCUGCUGGCCCAGCUGGAGAAGUUGGAUGAGGAGAUUGUGAAACUCCAGACUGGUGUACUCAGGAAACUCUCCGCCCAGAUUUCUCGUCUCAGCGAGCUUAUUGAGGAGCUGGAGGGGAAGUGUCCAAAGCCAGCAAGUGAAUUCCUGCAGGAUGUCAGAAGCACCUUGAGCAGGUACGUUGCUCUCUCUCCCCUCAUGCUGCACCACACAGAGAAAAAGCUUGGAGCUGAUGUUAGCACCAGAUGUUGGAUACAGAUGUCUUUGACUCGUUUAAUUCUGAGUGUCUCACUCUCUCACAGCAGACUCUGGAAUUCCCCAUUCAGGGGCACUGUCUGAUGUCAGGUGUUUCCUAGAGCUGUCACCUCCCUGGGGUCUAGCUGCCUCAGGACUGUAGGGCUGAAAUAUGGGCCUGUCACUGCUGGGCACAUUCAGCCCAGGGCAGCAGGGACCAAGAGUCUGUCCCACCCAACGGCUGUUUGGAGACCUGUGUGGAAGGAGCUGGGGAGCGGGGAGCUGGUGUCUCAGUCUAGUUCCCAGUGGGCAGAUUUCUACAGCCCUUAAGGUGCUAAGGACCAGGAGGUUCCCAGGUGGAGGCCAAGGAGUGAGAUGGCCAUGGACGUGGAGUCUCAAUUCCACUUUUAUCCCCCAGCUGGUCUCCGGGCCAGAGGUGAAGAACAGCAAUGGGACCUUUCAGAGGAAGGUUGCACAGUCAUGGGCUGUGUUGCCCCUGUUCUCAGGCUGGGAGAACUGGAGGAGUU